rnacentral:rRNA from 1 species
UACGUAGGGUGCGAGCGUUGUCCGGAAUUAUUGGGCGUAAAGAGCUCGUAGGCGGUGUGUCACGUCGGCCGUGAAACCUGCAGCUUAACUGUGGGCGUGCGGUCGAUACGGGGCAUCACUGGAGUUCGGCAGGGGAGACUGGAAUUCCUGGUGUAGCGGUGAAAUGCGCAGAUAUCAGGAGGAACACCGGUGGCGAAGGCGGGUCUCUGG